UACGGGGGGGGCAAGCGUUGUUCGGAAUUACUGGGCGUAAAGGGUUUGUAGGUGGCUCGCUAAGUCAGACGUGAAAUCCCUCAGCUUAACUGGGGAACUGCGUCUGAAACUGAUGAGCUUGAGUGCAGGAGAGGAACGCGGAAUUCCAGGUGUAGCGGUGAAAUGCGUAGAUAUCUGGAGGAACACCGGUGGCGAAGGCGGCGUUCUGGACUGCAACUGACACUGUAAAACGAAAGCCAGGGGAGCAAACGGG
rnacentral:rRNA from 1 species